CCACCACUGGUCCGUUCGGAUCCAUCAAACAGAUGUGCAGCGUGUCUUGUCUACGGAAAACAUAUAGCAAUUCUUCCAUUUCAUGAGAAUUCGAAAAGAAUUCAUAGUUAUGUUAUUCCACUGAAACAAAUCGAUCCACGGCUGGAUAAUAUUGCUGAUAUGGUAUUUUUGGAUGGAUAUUAUGAGCCGACAAUUUUAUUCCUUUAUGAACCAAUUCAAACUACUCCUGGAAGGUAAAAAUUGAUUUUAUUUUUGAAUUCAGCUCGCCGAGAGCUUUAAAAUAAGUAUAAUCAUGACCAGGUUCUGGUGAUUUUGGGUCCCGUCACGAAAACUACAGUAACCUUCGUGGCGGGACCCAAAAUUUCAAACUUAAUGGAGCCUAGUCAUGAUUAUACUUAUUUUAAAGCUCUCGGUGAGGUGAUUCUAUAUUACAAUAUUAAAAUGUUGAAUUCCGAAAUUUAAUACAAAUUUCUGGGUCUCGACGCGAAAUUUUCAAAAAAUUGAUUUUCCAAAAUUGUUUUAGAAAAUUGAAAAAUUCAGGUUUUAUCUGAAUUCAGCUCACCGAAAGCUUUGAUUUGAGUAUAAUCAUGACUAGGUUACGUUGAUUUUAAAAAAUUUUGGGUCUCGCCACGAAGGUUACUGUAGCUUCGUGGUGGGACAUGAAAAUUGGCUGAAAAUUGAGCAGUUCUGGCCUGAAAUUAGCGAAAACUACGAAAAAUUUGAAUUAUUUUGGCUCGUCAAUACUUGCAAUCGAUUAUUUCUUAGUUUUUCGGGUACCGCCACGAAGCUACAGUAACCUGCGUGGUGGGACCCGAAAUUUCAAAACUAAUGGAAUAUAGUCAUGAUUAUACUUAAAUGAAAGCUCCCAGGCGAGCUGAAUUCGAAUUUUUUAGUUUAAAAAACCCAAAAAAAAAAUUGAAUUUCAGAGCCUGCGUCCGUUACGAUACAAUGUGCAUAAUGGGUGUCUCCGUGAACAUUGUCGAUCGUCAAUUUGCAGUCGUCUGGCAAACUGCAAAUCUUCCAAUGGACUGCUCCCAACUGCUCCCAAUCCCAAAACCACUCGGCGGAGCCCUGGUUUUUGGCUCGAAUACAGUAGUCUAUCUGAAUCAGGCGGUACCGCCGUGUGGUCUCGUGCUCAAUUCAUGUUAUGAUGGAUUUACGAAAUUCCCGUUAAAAGAUUUGAAACAUUUGAAAAUGACGUUGGAUUGCUCUACAAGUGUCUAUAUGGAAGAUGGACGAAUUGCUGUCGGCAGCCGCGACGGAGAUUUGUUCUUGUUGCGGUUGAUGACGUCAUCCGGUGGUGGAACUGUCAAAUCGCUGGAGUUUAGCAAAGUUUAUGG
rnacentral:sRNA from 1 species